ACCUUGCAGGAUGAUGAUGUGAUCUCGUAUCUUCUCGCUGGUCUUGGUCCUGACUAUGAUCCCUUCGUUACCUCGAUGACUACCAAGAGUGAAGCUCUCACGCUUGAUAAUGUGUUUGCACAUCUAAUGGCUUUUGAAG